rnacentral:rRNA from 1 species
AAUCUUGCACAAUGGGCGAAAGCCUGAUGCAGCGACGCCGCGUGGGGGAUGAAGGCCUUCGGGUUGUAAACUCCUUUCAGUAGGGACGAGAAUGACGGUACCUACAGAAGAAGGUCCGGCCAACUACGUGCCAGCACCCGCGGUAACACGUAGGGACCAAGCGUUGUCCGGAAUUAUUGGGCGUAAAGAGCUCGUAGGUGGUUCAGUAAGUCGGAUGUGAAAAAUCAAGGCUCAACCUUGAGACGCCAUCCGAUAAUGCUGAUAAUAGAAUUCGGUAGAGGAGGGGGGAAUUUCUGGUGUAGCGGUGAAAAGUGCAGAAUACAGGAGGAACAACCAUAGGGAAGGCAGCACUGCGGGCCAACAAUUACCGUGAGGAGGGAAAAGCGGGGGGGCCAACCAGAAUUGAAUCCCUGGUUAGUCCACCCCUUA